rnacentral:misc_RNA from 1 species
GUGGGAGGGGGCUUGCUCCCGAUAGCGGUGGAUCAGUCAACAUCUUCAGUGACUGACUCUCUGCAAUCGGGAGCAAGCCCCCUCCCAC